AACGCGAAGAACCUUACCUGGGCUCGAAAUGUACAUGAAUCCGGCAGAAACGUCGGCGUCUCGCAAGAGACAUGUAUAUAGGUGCUGCAUGGCUGUCGUCAGCUCGUGUCGUGAGAUGUUGGGUUAAGUCCCGCAACGAGCGCAACCCUUAUCUUCAGUUGCUACCAUUUAGUUGAGCACUCUGACGAAACCGCCUCGGAUAACGGGGAGGAAGGUGGGGAUGACGUCAAGUCCUCAUGGCCUUUAUGUCCAGGGCUACACACGUGCUACAAUGGCCGGUACAAACCGCUGCAAACCCGCGAGGGGGAGCUAAUCGGAAAAAACCGGUCUCAGUUCGGAUCGCAGGCUGCAACUCGCCUGCGUGAAGCUGGAAUCGCUAGUAAUGGUGUAUCAGAACGAUACCGUGAAUACGUUCCCGGGCCUUGUACACACCGCGCAUA
rnacentral:rRNA from 1 species